AUUGAACGCUGGCGGCAGGCCUAACACAUGCAAGUCGAGCGGAUGAAGGGAGCUUGCUCCUGGAUUCAGCGGCGGACGGGUGAGUAAUGCCUAGGAAUCUGCCUGGUAGUGGGGGAUAACGUCCGGAAACGGGCGCUAAUACCGCAUACGUCCUGAGGGAGAAAGUGGGGAUCUUCGGACCUCACGCUAUCAGAUGAGCCUAGGUCGGAUUAGCUAGUUGGUGGGGUAAAGGCCUACCAAGGCGACGAUCCGUAACUGGUCUGAGAGGAUGAUCAGUCACACUGGAACUGAGACACGGUCCAGACUCCUACGGGAGGCAGCAGUGGGGAAUAUUGGACAAUGGGCGAAAGCCUGAUCCAGCCAUGCCGCGUGUGUGAAGAAGGUCUUCGGAUUGUAAAGCACUUUAAGUUGGGAGGAAGGGCAGUAAGUUAAUACCUUGCUGUUUUGACGUUACCAACAGGAUAAGCACCGGCUAACUUCGUG
rnacentral:rRNA from 1 species